GUGCAGCCCCAUCUGAAGAAGUGCUUUGAAGGCAUUGCCAGUGUGGUGUUCACCGAUGUGCUAGACAUCACCCAUAUGAAGAGCAGUGAGGGGGAGGUGGUGCAGCUGCUGGAUAUCAUUUCUACCUCCAAAGCCAGGGGUCAGGUGGAGAAGUGGCUUCUGG